AUUGAACGCUGGCGGCAUGCCUUACACAUGCAAGUCGAACGGCAGCACGGGUGCUUGCACCUGGUGGCGAGUGGCGAACGGGUGAGUAAUAUAUCGGAACGUACCUUAUUGUGGGGGAUAACGCAGCGAAAGCUGUGCUAAUACCGCAUAAUCCCUAAGGGGGAAAGCGGGGGACCGUAAGGCCUCGCGCAAUUAGAGCGGCCGAUACCUGAUUAGCUAGUUGGUGAGGUAAAGGCUCACCAAGGCAACGAUCAGUAGCUGGUCUGAGAGGACGAUCAGCCACACUGGGACUGGGACACGGCCCAGACUCCUACGGGAGGCAGCAGUGGGGAAUGUUGGACAAUGGGGGCAACCCUGAUCCAGCAAUGCCGCGUGAGUGAAGAAGGCCUUCGAGUUGUAAAGCUCUUUUGUCAGGGAAGAAACAGCAGCUCUAACACAGUUUGCGAAUGACGGUACCUGAAGAAUAAGCACCGGCUAACUACGUGCCAGCCGCCGCCGUAA
rnacentral:rRNA from 1 species